AUUAGGGCCCUACCUCCCAAUGGUCCUCUGGUCUAAACUCUCCCAAAUAGGCUCUGUGUUUCUGCGUCCAUAGAAUCAGCCACACAACUCAAGGGCCAAAGGAGGGAAGAGAGCAACGGGGAUGCUAACAACCACUGGCUCCUCCCUCCAUUCUCCCCCCCCCCCACUAACUCUUAGACAGGCCUAUUCGGGGCCCAAGAGGAGACAGGAAGAAGGGCCAUGGGGGGGGGCAGUCGGGAACGGGGUUGGCACAGCUGAGUCAGAGAUUAGCAAAUCCCUCCCACAGCCCAUUGAGCCAGGCAGGAAAAGUUCCUUGGGACAAGCAUUCUCUGUUUUGUCCUUCCCCUCCAAAUUCAGCCAUGGGAUCUGAGGCAAGACCUCUCUCUAACUCCUUCCUGACAAAACGCUGAGGGUUCCAGAUCCCACUCAGAAGACAUGGCUGGCGCAGGGGACACUGGUCUAUCACCCUAUGAAGCAAAGUCGGAAAUACUGUUUGGAUUCCGGAUGAGGAUGAGGAUUCACCUCAAUGACCCCAGCAUACCACUGACCCUGGGCUUGACUAACAGGCAAGCCAGGGCCUGGACAGCUGCCCUGCCCUGCCUCAUCUUCCACACAGGCCACCAGCCCGGGAGAAAAGACCCAUGGACUGAUCAUCAAAUCAACAUUAUUUUUGCUACUGUCAAGUUUGUGACGAUCUGCUGGCCUGUGACUUCUCUCCAAAUCCCUGUGACUCUGGGUCAAAGGCUACCUUCUCUGGCCUCCAUUUCCUGUCCACCAUCAGCCCCAAGCCUCCCUUGUCCCUAUCCCCCCCCCCCGCCCUUCAUGUUUGACCUGUGUCCCUCCAUUUCUUUGAGUUUCCUUAUGUGUGUACACAUUGUUCUUCCUCUCCCCCCCCCAUAAAAUGUAAUUUCGUCACUGUAUCUCCAGCAAAGUGCCUGGCACACAGCAGGUACUUAAUGAUUACAUUAAGCACCUACUAUAUGCCAGGCAUUUUGCUUUGUUGAACAGAUUCAUUUAAUCAUCAAAUAUUUAUUAAGCCCCUACUACAUAUCAUCCAUAGUUGAUGACAGUCCAUUAGAUUGGAAGCUCCCUGAGGCCAGGGACUGUCUUUUGCCUCUUUGUAUCCCCAGAACACAGUAUCCCUGGCACAUAGUAGGUACUUAAUAAAUGUUUAUUGAUGGAUUGAUUUAUAUUUGAUAUUAUGCUAGGCAGUAGAGAUAAAAAGGGAAAGGAAGCACAGAUCCUGGGGACAGAGCUAACAAGAGGGUCAGCUGUCUGAGCCUGUGGCUAAAAGGAACCUUGGGGACACAGCAGGCACUGACGGGGACAGAGGAGCCCAUAUAAGACAGGAGGGUCCAGCCUCUGCCUCGGGCCCCAAAGAGCAGUAAUAUCAGGUAGCACUUGCAGUUCCCUGACCAUCACCCACCACUUCGAAUAUUUACUUUUUCAUUCAUUCAUUCAUUCAUUCAUUCAUUCAUUCAUUCAUUCAUUCAUUCAUUCUGAAACAACACAAGUUCCAUGCAUUGGGUAUGGGUGGGAGUCAAGGGAUUUGGAAGAGAAGGGGGCCCUGUGACCAGUGCCACUGUGGGCAAUGUGGCUUUCCCUCAAGGGCAGUGGGGCAUGUGCCAGGCUUGCUGCCUGGCACAGAAGCCAUGAUACCCUCCUGCUUCUACACUCUGUCUCCCAAUUCCUUGCCUCCUUAAAAGCUCAGCUCAAGGGCCCUCUCCCUCCAUGAGGCCCUCCCUGAUCUCUGCAGCUGCUAGGCCCUCCUGCCUCCAAAUCAUCUUGUGUAUCUACUCAGUUGUUUGCUCCCAUGUUGGAAUGUCAAUUCCUUGAGAACGAGGUCCAUUACAUUCUUGUCUCUAUCUCUGCACCACCUAACCCAGCGCCUGGCACACAGG